ACCUCCCCGGGUUUGGCUGAUUUACACGCAUAAACAAAGCCAGCGAUCGUACGCUGCACUCGACUCAGAAUUCCAGGCUUUCCGGGACAUUUUUACCAUUCAAAAAUGAAUUGGCCAUUUUUCAAACUUGCACCAUUUCAACAUUUUACAACCAAUUAGAACCAUUCCACCUUCAACAUAUUCCACUCAUUCUGGACAUUCAAAAUAUCAUUUUCCAAGUUCGUAAAAAUUCCCGGAAUUCACAUUUUUCCAAACCCUAUUUUCACUCUUUUUUUCUGUCGACGACUCCUUCCACAUUUUUCAACCCACUUAAACCGAAUAUUCCACUGUCAAAACAUUCGUAUUAAUCUGGAAUUUUUUGAGUUAUGGACAAAUUUCCAUUUCUCCCAAAAUUCCAGGAAUUCCGUAGUACAAUUUAUCAAUUAAAAAUGUUACUACUUCAACAUUUCUCAACCAUUUUGAAAAAUUGUAACACCAACCAUUCACAACAUUCAAGUUUUUUACCAUUUUCCAAAAAAUUCCCUCUUUUCCCAGAAUUACCAAUUUUUUAUGAAAUUCCCAUUGAAAUGAAUGUUCAACAAUUCUAAAAACAAAAACCAAUUCCCAUAUUUCCCAGAAUUCCAGGUUUUCUGGGACAUUUUUACCAUUCAAAAAUGAAUUGGCCAUUUUUCAAACUUCCACCAUUUCAACAUUUUACAACCAAUUAGAACCAUUCCACCUUCAACAUAUUCCACUCAUUCUGGACAUUCAAAAUAUCAUUUUCCAAGUUCGUAAAAAUUCCCGGAAUUCACAUUUUUCAAACCCUAUUUUCACUCUUUUUUUCUGUCGACAACUCCUUCCACAUUUUUCAACCCACUUAAACCGAAUAUUCCACUGUCAAAACAUUCCUAUUAAUCUGGAAUUUUUUGAGUUAUGGACAAAUUUCCAUUUCUCCCAAAAUUCCAGGAAUUCCGUAAUACAAUUUCUCAAUUAAAAAUGUUACUACUUCAACAUUUCUCAACCACUUUGAAAAAUUGUAACACCAACCAUUCACAACAUUCAAGUUUUUUACCAUUUUCCAAAAAAUUCCCUCUUUUCCCGGAAUUACCAAAUUUGUAUGAAAUUCCCAUUGAAAUUAGUGUUCAACAAUUCUAAAAAUAAAAAAAAAAUCCCCAUAUUUCCCAGAAUUUCAGGUUUUCUGGGACAUUUUUCCCAUACAAAAUGAAUUGGCCAUUUUUCAAACUUGCACCAUUUCAACAUUUUUCAACCAAUUAGAACCAUUCCACCUUCAACAUAUUCCACUCAUUCUGGACAUUCAAAAUAUCAUUUUCCAAGUUUGUAAAAAUUCCCAGAAUUCUCAUUUUUCAAAACCUUAUUUUCACCCUUUUUUCUGUCGACGACUCCUUCCACAUUUUUCAACCCACUUAAAAUAUUCCACUGUCAAAACAUUCCUCUUAAUCUGGAAUUUUUCGAGUUUUGGAAAAAUUUCCAUUUCUCCCAAAAUUCCGUAACACAAUUUCUCAAUUAAAAAUGUUACUACUUCAACAUUUCUCGACCCUUUUGAAAAAUUCCAACACCAACGAUUCACAACAUUCAAGUUUUUUACCAUUUUCCAAAAAAUUCCCUCUUUUCCCGGAAUUACCAAAUUUGUAUGAAAUUCCCAUUGAAAUUAGUGUUCAACAAUUCUAAAAAAAAACAAAAAAAACCCAUAUUUCCCAGAAUUUCAGGUUUUCUGGGACAUUUUUACCAUUCAAAAAUGAAUUGGCCAUUUUUCAAACUUCCACCAUUUCAACAUUUUACAACCAAUUAGAACCAUUCCACCUUCAACAUAUUCCACUCAUUCUGGACAUUCAAAAUAUCAUUUUCUAAGUUCGUAAAAAUUCCCAGAAUUCCCAUUUUUCAAAACCUUAUUUUCACCCUUUUUUCUGUCGACGACUCCUUCCACAUUUUUCAACCCACUUAAAACAUUCCACUGUCAAAACAUUCCUCUUAAUCUGGAAUUUUUCGAGUUUUGGAAAAAUUUCCAUUUCUCCCAAAAUUCCGUAAUACAAUUUCUCAAUUAAAAAUGUUACUACUUCAACAUUUCUCGACCCUUUUGAAAAAUCCCAACACCAACCAUUCACAACAUUCAAGUUUUUUACCAUUUUCCAAAAAAUUCCCUCUUUUCCCGGAAUUACCAAAUUUUAUGAAAUUCCCAUUGAAAUGAAUGUUCAACAAUUCUAAAAAAAAAAAAAAAAUCCCCAUAUUUCCCAGAAUUCCAGGUUUUCUGGGACAUUUUUACCAUUCAAAAAUGAAUUGGCCAUUUUUCAAACUUCCACCAUUUCAACAUUUUACAACCAAUUAGAACCAUUCCACCUUCAACAUAUUCCACUCAUUCUGGACAUUCAAAAUAUCAUUUUCCAAGUUCGUAAAAAUUCCCAGAAUUCCCAUUUUUCCAAACCCUAUUUUCACCCUUUUUUCUGUCGACGACUCCUUCCACAUUUUUCAACCCACUUAAAACAUUCCACUGUCAAAACAUUCCUAUUAAUCUGGAAUUUUUCGAGUUAUGGACAAAUUUCCAUUUCUCCCAAAAUUCCAGGAAUUCCGUAAUACAAU